rnacentral:rRNA from 1 species
UACGUAGGGGGCGGGCGUUAUCCGGAAUUACUGGGCGUAAAGCGCACGCAGGCGGUUCGCCAAGUUUGGAGUGACAGUUGUCGGCUCAACCGACAAAGGACUUCAAAAACUGGUGAACUUGAGGACGAGAGAGGAACAUGGAACUCCAGGUGUAGUAGUGAAAUGCGUAGAUAUCUGGAAGAACACCAAUGGCGAAGGCAAUGUUCUGGCUCGUUUCUGACGCUCAGGUGCGAAAGCCAGGGGAGCGAACGGG